rnacentral:tRNA from 1 species
GUCCUUUUAGGUUUUGACUGGUAGAGCAGAGGACUGCAAAUCCUCUUUAGCUUUACGCAUGGGACUCUAAAUCCCAAUUGCACUAGCUAGCUCUGUGGUUCGAUUCCAUAAUAGAACG